UUUAUCUUUGUAAUUAAAUUUUCGUUUUAUUUGGUACUAGUACCAACAAUUCGAUGUUUUUAAUUGAACUUAAAAUAAGUUUACCCCAUUUAAGUAAAUAGCCAAAGAAGUUUUUUGUUAUGAUAUUUUUUCCAAAUUUUAUACUUUUGAAUGCCUCUCAUGUAAAGUAUCAAAUAUCAAAAGUAUCAAAUGCUUAAACCAAAUAGUCUUUCAACUAGCCAAAUAAUUUAAAAAAAAAAAACCGCUAUAUAGAAAUUAAAUGUCAGUUAUUUACAUUAUCUUAUUAUCCGGUCUUGUGAGUGGAGUAACUCAUAUUUUUGUAUAAAUUCGUACGUUGUUUUAUUACGUCUGUAAUGUUUAGAUCACUAAUAACUUUAACAGAUCACAAAGUGAAUGUUGGAAUCCACCAUGAAAGUUCAGGUCGUAAUCCUAAAUUUAUAAACCAGGAGUUACGUCCUUAAGGCCACAGGCGGUUCAAUGUAUCUACAGCUCAAACUAUUUUGGUAGCCGCAACAAUAUGGCGAUAUGGUAACCAAGGAAAAAAUAGGAAAAAAUGAGAACCUUGAAUUAAAAAAUAAUGAAAACAUGAGUCAGAGAAUCAAUAAUUAUUUAAAUAAUUAUCAUUGAUACGGCGCAUAUUGCGAGGAGUUUUCUUACUUUAGAACUCUAGCCACUGAUUGCUUGUGUCGUAGAUACCGCCAUUUGCGGUAAUAAUUUUUUUAUACAAUUAAAAAAAUAUGAAUAUUUUAAUAUUAAAAUAAAAAAUAUAUAUAGAAUAGAAGAAUAAUAAGAUUUCAAUAAAUAUAGUAUAUUUAAAAUAAAA